CUUGCUUCUCGGCUUUUUGGCUAAGAUCAAGUGUAGUAUCUGUUCUUAUCAGUUUAAUAUCUGAUACGUCCCCUAUCCAACCAGGAAGUCGUGGCCUAAUGGUUAGAGAUUCGGACUCGUAAACCAAAGGUUGGCAAUUCUAGUCUCGGGCUGUAGGUUGGGGGAGUGAAUGUCCAGUGCUCUCUUCACCUUCAAUACCCU
rnacentral:snRNA from 1 species